UACGAAGGGGGCUAGCGUUGUUCGGAUUUACUGGGCGUAAAGCGCACGUAGGCGGAUCGUUAAGUCGGGGGUGAAAUCCUGGAGCUCAACUCCAGAACUGCCUUCGAUACUGGCGAUCUUGAGUCCGGAAGAGGUGAGUGGAACUCCUAGUGUAGAGGUGGAAUUCGUAGAUAUUAGGAAGAACGCCAGUGGCGAAGGCGGCUCACUGGUCCGGUACUGACGCUGAGGUGCGAAAGCGUGGGGAGCAAACAGG
rnacentral:rRNA from 1 species